rnacentral:rRNA from 1 species
AWUAGAAUYAGRGURGUKUAUUCCGGACUSUUYUGCCYGCUSGCCCCGSCCGMCAGGWGUGAUGGAUAUYUUUYKSGRGMRCCCUUAGAGUUUGAUCCUGGCUCAGGACGAACGCUGGCGGCGUGGAUAAGGCAUGCAAGUCAAGGGGCCCGCAAGGGCACCGGCAAACGGGGUAGUAAUACGUAGGUAUCAACCCUGAAGAGGAGCAUAGCUGGUCGAAAGACCAGGUAAUUCUCCAUAGUCCCUGAGAGCAAUCGAAGGGUAAAGAUGCAAAUCGCUUCAGGAUGAGCCUGCGGGCUAUCAGCUAGUUGGUAGGGUAAUGGCCUACCAAGGCGAUGACGGCUAGGGGGGGUGAGAGCCUGUUCCCCACCAAUGGCACUGAGACACGGUCCAGACUCCUACGGGAGGCAGCAGUGGGGAAUUUUGCGCAAUGGGCGAAAGCCUGACGCAGCAACGCCGCGUGAGUGAUGAAGGCUUUCGGGUCGUAAAGCUCUGUCAAUGGGAAAGAAGUGUAUUUUGGCUAAUAUCCUUAAUACUUGACGGUACCCAUAAAGGAAGCACCGGCUAACUCCGUGCCAGCAGCCGCGGUAAUAC